rnacentral:misc_RNA from 1 species
CCGCCAUUUGCAUCGUAGGUUGAUUAAGUCUCCGCCGCUAGGAGAGUUGACUCGCAGUUACAGUGUAGCUAAGCCAAGCAGAAAUGGCAGAAGAAGUGAUUCUUUUGGAUUUCUGGUCAAGCCCUUUUGGGAUGAGAGUCAGAAUAGCCUUGGCUGAGAAGGGUGUCAAGUAUGAGUACAGAGAAGAAGACUUGAGGAACAAAAGCCCUCUUCUUCUGCAGAUGAACCCAGUUCACAAGAAGAUCCCUGUUCUCAUCCACAAUGGAAAACCCAUUUGUGAGUCUCUUAUUGCCGUUCAGUAUGUUGAUGAGGUCUGGAAGGAUAAG